AGAGUUUGAUCAUGGCUCAGGACGAACGCUGGCGGUGCGCCUAACACAUGCAAGUCGAACGGUGAACCGGGCUUCGGCCCGGGGAUCAGUGGCGAACGGGUGCGUAACACGUGGGCAACCUGCCCCCGACCCUGGGAUAACCCCGGGAAACCGGAGCUAAUACCGGAUACUCUCCUCCGACCACAUGGUCAGAAGAGGAAAGGUCCGCCGGUCGGGGAUGGGCCCGCGGCCUAUCAGCUUGUUGGUGGGGUAACGGCCUACCAAGGCGACGACGGGUAGCUGGUCUGAGAGGACGACCAGCCACACUGGGACUGAGACACGGCCCAGACUCCUACGGGGGGCUGCAGUAACGAAUCUUCCACAAUGCACGAAAGUGUGACGGAGCGACGCCGCGUGUGGGACGAAGUCCUUCGGGAUGUAAACCACUGUCAGGGGUUACCAAGUUCUGAGGAGCCCCAGAGGAAGGCACGGCUAACUCUGUGCCAGCAGCCGCGGUAAUAC
rnacentral:rRNA from 1 species